rnacentral:lncRNA from 12 species
AUGAGGACACUGAGGCCCCAGACCUCUAUGUCAGCUGCCAUAUUAAGGCAGAUGUCAUGUGCUGUGGUGAAGAUGGGAUCCGAACGCCCGGCAGCCUGGAUCCAGAUUUGGAGACUGAGACUGAGGGCUCUGGCGUCAGCGGGAGCUGGGCUGGAAUCGUCCAGAUUCUUACCUAGAAUCUUCCAGGGACCACUUACUCCUUCUGCUUCCACUGGCUCCUGGGCUGUGGGUUGGAAUAUACAGAAUCACCAGGGAGAGACCCAGCAAGCCUGCUCCCACCAUGCCACAAGAAUAUGUACAGCAGAAGAUGCCAGCAAGGCAGCCAGAACCGGUGAAGUCAGAACCUCCAGAGGUGAGGCUGGCAAACCGGACUUUUUCUCCCAAGCAUGCUGCUCUCCGAGAACCACGGGACCAAGCAGAGCUGCGGUGAGGAGCCUGGUGACUGAGCCUGGGGACUGGGCCCCCCACCCCCACCCCGCCCCCGCGCCCUGCCCUGCGCGCAGCGACUCCUGGCAGGUCGCACCUGCAGCACAGGGAGCUGGGGACCGGGUACGGGGACAGUGAGUGGCUCCCCACCGUCGCGGGGGGGCAGGGGAGAAGGGGGCCCGCACUUUCUGUCCCCGGAUUGGAGAUUCAGGGAGAGAAGCAGCGGCGAGUGCCAACCCCCCCCCCCCCCCCAACCAGGGCUCCCUUGGCGGGGCCGCUGCCGGGACACGCAGGGACCCGGGGCUGGCCGCGCCCCCAUCAGAUAAGGCCGCCACCCCCGUGCUGGCAGCGCCGGGCGCCCGGCGAGGAGUUUACGUAAGCCUCUCGGUGGUGGAAAAACAACUGCGCCAGCGGGCGGUUCCUGGCCUGCUCCGAGCCGCGGGCCCCAGACGCUGGCUCACCCCGAGAGGCUCCGUCCUGGCAGCUCCCCGGGGCUCAGGCGAAACUCUGGGGGUCCCACGUGCUGGAAGACCGGCUCUCGGGCCACCCAAAGCCCCACCCUCAGGCCCAGGCACCCUGCACGUGAGAGCCAGUGUGGGUGUCACCCCUCCCCGCCGGCCCUGCAGCAGCCUGGAGCCCGGGAGGGGCCCCCCAGGGGCAGCACCGCACCCCUGAGCGCCUGCUGCAUGCCCGGUCCUGCUCCAGGCGGCGGGAGCGGGUGCAGGGAUGAGAACCGGGAAAGAACCAAGAGGGGGCCUGGGCCAGGAGGAAACCCGCGGCGACCAGCCGCUGCGCACCUGCGCACCCCAUCGUGUCUUCCUUUCUUGCUUUUAAAACUGAAGGAGAGCUGAGGCAGCCUCUCGCAGAGCUGCUGAAGACAGAGGGGACACAGCGAGGGGGACGUGACCCUCCCCAGCCCACACCCAUCUCUGCCAGGAGGGAGGCAGGUGACCAGGACCCCACAUUCGCCAGUUGCCCGACCUCAUCACCUUGUGCCCAAAUCUCUUUAUCUACAAAACGAAGCUAAUGCUUAUACCAACCUUGAGUUCGAGAAUGUAAUGAGACAUUUUGAGGAUUAAAUAUGAUAACGAAUAUAAAACCCUUAAAGCAUACCUAUCAUAGUGUCUGGCACAAAAUAUCACACAGGAACAUGUCACCGUGCACGUAUACGUAUUGAAUUCACCUGCCUUUCCAUCUCAGCACAGACAUCUGCCUUUCCGGGGGGCCUUUCCUGAUCCCUCCCAUAGGUCAGGGUCCCGAUUACAUUCCCUCCCAAGUCCCCCUUCCUCCACUCUUCACCCAUGUAACUACCCCAGACUGUGUCUUCUCCAUCAGACUGUGCGCUCACUGUGUGCCAGCCUUCAUGCUGGCCCUGGGCACCCAGAGGUAAAUCACAUUCUGGCCCCGUCCUCUAGGGGGUCCUAGCCUGGGGCAAUAAAGAAACCCAGUGGAUUUGAAAUCA